CCGGUGGCCGGGUGGGCGAAUGGCCUGGGAGUGUAAGAGAAAACAGACCGGGAGAUUCCUGUCAACGCCCGGUUCUGCCCCGACGGCAUGGAGGAGUCAGGCUCUGAGGGCCUAGGCGAGCUGAUUUUCGCCCAGAAAGACAGCUUCUUUAAGGCCGUGGACUGUGUCGGCAUCUCUGACAACUACUGGCUGGGGAAGAAGCAGCCCUGCAUCGCCUCCGGCCUCAGGGGCACCUGCUGCUUCUUCAUCGAGGUGGCGUGCAGCAGCAGAGACCUGCAUUCCGGGUGUACAGGGACUCGGUGCAUGAGGCCAUGGCUGCUCUCGUUUUGCUGAUGGGCUCUUUAGUGGACAAGAGGAGGAACAUCCUGAUCCCCGAAUUAACGAGGCUGUGGCUGCUGUGACGGAAGAGGAGCACAAGCUGUACGAGGACAUUGACUUUGACAGGGAGGAGUAUGCCAGGGACGUGCGGGCGCACACCCUCCUGCACUGCUGCAAGAAAGACAUCCUCAUGCGCCGAUGGCGGUACCCCUCUCUCUCCCUCCAUGGCAUUGAAGGCGCCUUCUCUGGGUCGGGGGCCAAGACUGUGAUUCCCAGGAAGGCGGUCGGCAAGUUCUCCAUCAGGCUCGUGCUGAACAUGACUCCCGAAGUCGUCAGCGAGCAGGUCACAAGCUAUCUAACUCAGAAGUUUGCUGAACUCCACGGCCCCAACAAGUUCAAGGUGGGAAGCCGUGGGUCUCCGACUUCAGUCACCCUCAUUACAUGGCUGGGAAAAGAGCCCUGAAAACAGUUUUUGGUGUUGAGCCAGACUUGACCAGGGAAGGCGGCAGUAUUCCCGUGACCUUGACCUUCCAGGAGGCCACAGGCAAGAACGUCAUGCUGCUGCCUGUGGGGUCGGCAGAUGACGGAGCCCAAUCCCAGAAUGAGAAGCUCAACAGGCGUUAACUACGUAGAGGGAACCAAGAUGCUGGCCGUGUACCUGUAUGAGGUCUCCUAGCUGAAGGAGUAG